rnacentral:rRNA from 1 species
AGGCCGACGACGNGGUAGCCNGACCUGAGAGNGGUGACCGNGCCACACCUGGGACUGAGACACGGCCCAGACUCCUACGGGAGGCAGCAGUGGGGAAUAUUGCACAAUGGGCGAAAGCCUGAUGCAGCGACGCCGCGUGAGGGAUGACGGCCUUCGGGUUGUAAACCUCUUUCAGCAGGGACGAAGCGCAAGUGACGGUACCUGCAGAAGAAGCACCGGCUAACUACGUGCCAGCAGCCGCGGUAAUACGUAGGGUGCAAGCGUUGUCCGGAAUUACUGGGCGUAAAGAGUUCGUAGGCGGUUUGUCGCGUCGUUUGUGAAAACCAGCAGCUCAACUGCUGGCUUGCAGGCGAUACGGGCAGACUUGAGUACUGCAGGGGAGACUGGAAUUCCUGGUGUAGCGGUGAAAUGCGCAGAUAUCAGGAGGAACACCGGUGGCGAAGGCGGGUCUCUGGGCAGUAACUGACGCUGAGGAACGAAAGCGUGGGUAGCGAACAGGAUUAGAUACCCUGGUAGU